UUCCUUUAAUCAAGAAAGCAUUUCUUAUAUUAUGGACAUAGAAUUUCCUUGUCUUGUUGACCUGAAAUUUCCCUGUGUGUUGUCCCAGUGGUCACAGACCCAUGGUUUAAUCCAUCUGAAUUUUCACAAGCACUGUCUGUGUGAGGAGCAAUGUGCUUUGGUGCCUUGGGACAUUUGUCAUCCAAUUCCUCUGCUCAGGAAAAUGAGAGAGUUUAAAGUUUCCAUCCAGAGCAGUCUCCAUUUCUUCUUUCUACCCACUGUGUCUGCCAGCUGCAGCAGUUGCCUCUUCCCUGCAAGCUUGAGCUGAGUUUGCAUUUCCAUCAGCAGCAGCCCUGGUGUGUGGUGACAGUGCUUUCCACUUCAUGGGCAGCAGCUUGUGGCUCAGGGAGGGACUGGCCCACAGAACUGGUGCUGGUUUCCUCAGUGCCUGAAAUGCCAGGAAGGAGGAGGUUUCUGAAGUACCCCAGGCCUGCAAGGCUCUUAAGACAAGCUCAUCUUCCCCAAUCACGGUCAGAUAUCAGUGGGAUCACGGGACAAACUUGGGGGCAAUUGCUUCAUUUAGAAAAGCAGAGUUGUUGAAUUUUUCUAAACCUUUGUGUGUUCAUGAGUGAUGUACAUUUUUUUGUCAGACUGCCUUUGUAUCCUCAUUAAAAGAGAUCCAAAGUCAA